UGGAAACUUUUAUUUUUUUAAUCCCAGGCUAUCCUCCAAUUCACCAUCCUGCCUGCCUCAGCCUCCAUCGUGCUGAGAUGACAAGCGUGCACCACUGCUCCUGGUUCUAAAUAUGUUUUGAAGAUUACAGGCAAUGGUGUGAAAGUAACAGUAUUCUUGUAUACUUGCUGUUGUUCUCUGCCUGCCCUCUUCCCACUUCUAGACCGUGAAGCCACAAAAGUGCAAGAGCAGUGUCACAUAGCAGGUGAUUUGAGGAUUAAAGUUGGAAUGUACUGAAUCUCAGGAUUAUAAUUCUAUUUUAGAGAAACUCUUCUCUUGUUGUUAUGUGUCCAGGCUGCCUUAAACUUUUGGUUUAAGAACCCUCUUCAGUCUGGUCUGAGUAGCAGAACUCCAGGUGUUUCCCCAGUAUCCAGUGUCUUCAGCAACCGGAAUAGGCCUGCAGCUUCUCGUAUCCUGCUGAAUUCAAUACAGAAGGCCUGCACUUCUAUAAACAAGUCCUGCACAUUAAUAAUUUUGUUACGGAUCAAGGACUGGAGAAACACACACACAAGACGCACCAAACGAUUCUGGGGAGGAAAAAAAAAAGUUUUAGUCUGCCUGUUUUCCUGUUGGAUAUUAAUAAAAUUUAUAAACAUUUCUACUAACCUGCAUGUAUUUGUCCUUAAUUUGCUCACAAGUAGAGAUGCAAUUUGAUAUGUAAAGGUGAAUAAAUUCAGGAGGUAGAUCAACAGCUGUAGUUAGUCUGUUUCAUAAAAUAAAAUGUGGGCUGUUAGUUGUAGUUGCUAAUUUAUCACCAAGUAAAAAAUUUCCUGUGGUCAUCUGGUGAAAAUUUCUGAUAAGUAGUACAACUCCCUAGUUUUAAAUAUUCUUUGGCAAAUAAGUCCAAGAGCCAGUGCCACUUCUGUUAAAUCUGUACUUAGUAUCUCACAGUGUAGUUACUCAGUAGGUAAUGGUUUGUUUAAGCAUUAGGUCCCUGAAUCGUUUUGGUUAAGUCAUUGUAAGCCAUAGUCUCCUCCAAGCUCCAACAACCUUGGCAGUUAUUUUCAUCUUAGGAAAUUCCUAUGACAUGUAAGAGCUAUAAAAGCAGUGUUCCUAAGAGGAAGUGUAGAUAGUAUAUAAACAGCACAGCAUACAACCAGGUGUUAAUAACUGUGAGCUUUGGGAAAAGUAACAUGACGCCGAGAAAGAUGUAAAUGACUAAAAUGGAUACUGAGAAAGACUUUCUUGAAAAUGGAGUAAAUAGAUGGCAUGCAUGGUCAAAACUAAGGAACAGCACAGUAACACUGCAGGGAAGACCUAACUGCUAUGUGACAAAAGGAAUGAAGGCUGACAACCAAAGUUGAUAGAUUUGAAAGCCAAGACCAGUAUUUUCCAAAGGAUUAUAUGAAAUGUUUAUGAAUUAGAGUAGGGGAGGG